UGCCAAUACGGAUGCUUCUACUGCUUUUUUU
rnacentral:piRNA from 1 species